GCUUACACAUGCAAGUCGAGCGGGCGUAGCAAUACGUCAGCGGCAGACGGGUGAGUAACACGUGGGAACGUACCUUUUGGUUCGGAACAACACAGGGAAACUUGUGCUAAUACUGGAUAAGCCCUUACGGGGAAAGAUUUAUCGCCGAAAGAUCGGCCCGCGUCUGAUUAGCUAGUUGGUAGGGUAAUGGCCUACCAAGGCGACGAUCAGUAGCUGGUCUGAGAGGAUGAUCAGCCACAUUGGGACUGAGACACGGCCCAAACUCCUACGGGAGGCAGCAGUGGGGAAUAUUGGACAAUGGGGGCAACCCUGAUCCAGCCAUGCCGCGUGAGUGAUGAAGGCCCUAGGGUUGUAAAGCUCUUUUGUGCGGGAAGAUAAUGACGGUACCGCAAGAAUAAGCCCCGGCUAACUUCGUGCCAGCAGCCGCGGUAAUACGAAGGGGGCUAGCGUUGCUCGGAAUCACUGGGCGUAAAGGGUGCGUAGGCGGGUUUUUAAGUCAGGGGUGAAAUCCUGGAGCUCAACUCCAGAACUGCCUUUGAUACUGAA
rnacentral:rRNA from 1 species